rnacentral:rRNA from 1 species
CAGUCGCCACGGGAAUACGUAGGGUGCAAGCGUUAAUCGGAAUUACUGGGCGUAAAGCGUGCGCAGGCGGUUAUAUAAGUCAGAUGUGAAAUCCCCGGGCUCAACCUGGGAACUGCAUUUGAGACUGUAUGGCUAGAGUGUGUCAGAGGGGGGUAGAAUUCCACGUGUAGCAGUGAAAUGCGUAGAUAUGUGGAGGAAUACCGAUGGCGAAGGCAGCCCCCUGGGAUAACACUGACGCUCAUGCACGAAAGCGUGGGGAGCAAACAGGAUUAGAUACCCCGGUAGUCCCUGUCUCUUAUAC